CGCACAUUGCGCUCCUCGGUAUUCCGGGGAGCAUGCCUGUUCGAGCGUCAUUGCACCUCUCAAGCAUAGCUUGGUAUUGGAUUUUCGUCCUCUAAAAUGGAUGUGUCCGAAAGCGAGUGGCGGUCGAGUCUGACUUCAAGCGUAGUAAAAUAUCCCGCUUUAGAAGAUCAGAUUGUGAUCCUGCCAAAACCUUCAUAAUUUUUUCAAUGAUUGACCUCGGAUCAGGUAGGGAUACCCGCUGAACUUAA
rnacentral:misc_RNA from 1 species